rnacentral:rRNA from 1 species
GAUGAACGCUGGCGGCGUGCCUAAUACAUGCCAGUCGAGCGAACAGACGAGGAGCUUGCUCCUCUGACGUUAGCGGCGGACGGGUGAGUAACACGUGGAUAACCUAUCUAUAAGACUGGGAUAACUUCGGGAAACCGGAGCUAAUACCGGAUAAUAUAUUGAACCGCAUGGUUCAAUAGUGAAAGACGGUUUUGCUGUCACUUAUAGAUGGAUCCGCGCCGCAUUAGCUAGUUGGUAAGGUAACGGCUUACCAAGGCAACGAUGCGUAGCCGACCUGAGAGGGUGAUCGGCCACACUGGAACUGAGACACGGUCCAGACUCCUACGGGAGGCAGCAGUAGGGAAUCUUCCGCAAUGGGCGAAAGCCUGACGGAGCAACGCCGCGUGAGUGAUGAAGGUCUUCGGAUCGUAAAACUCUGUUAUUAGGGAAGAACAAAUGUGUAAGUAACUAUGCACGUCUUGACGGUACCUAAUCAGAAAGCCACGGCUAACUACGUG